GCGGAUGUAGUAUAAUGGCAUUAUGCUUGGUUGCCAACCAAAUGACGAGGGUUCGAAUCCCUCCUUCCGCGCCA
rnacentral:tRNA from 1 species